rnacentral:rRNA from 1 species
GACGAACGCAGGCGGCGUGCCUAAUACAUGCAAGUAGAACGCAGUGGAGCACGGGUGAGUAACGCGUAGGUAACUGCCUCAUAGCGGGGGAUAACUAUUGGAAACGAUAGCUAAUACCGCAUAUUGUGAGAUGGCCCUGCGUUGUAUUAGUUAGUUGGAGGGGUAAAGGCUCACCAAGGCGACGAUACAUAGCCGACCUGAGAGGGUUAUCGGCAGCAUGGUGACUGAGACACGGCCCAGACUCCUACGGGAGUCAGCAGUGGGGAAUCUUCGGCAAUGGACGGAAGUCUUACCGAGCAACGCCGCGUGAGUGAUGAAGGUUUUCGGGUCGUAAAGCUCUGUUGUUAGAGACGCGGUAUCUAACCAGAAAGGGACGGCUAACUACGUGCCAGCCGCCGCGGUAAUUC